rnacentral:rRNA from 1 species
UGUGAGCUCGAUGAGUAGGGCGGGACACGUGGUAUCCUGUCUGAAUAUGGGGGGACCAUCCUCCAAGGCUAAAUACUCCUGACUGACCGAUAGUGAACCAGUACCGUGAGGGAAAGGCGAAAAGAACCCCGGCGAGGGGAGUGAAAAAGAACCUGAAACCGUGUACGUACAAGCAGUGGGAGCCUUUUUUAUGGGGUGACUGCGUACCUUUUGUAUAAUGGGUCAGCGACUUAUAUUCUGUAGCAAGGUUAACCGAAUAGGGGAGCCGAAGGGAAACCGAGUCUUAACUGGGCGUUAAGUUGCAGGGUAUAGACCCGAAACCCGGUGAUCUAGCCAUGGGCAGGUUGAAGGUUGGGUAACACUAACUGGAGGACCGAACCGACUAAUGUUGAAAAAUUAGCGGAUGACUUGUGGCUGGGGGUGAAAGGCCAAUCAAACCGGGAGAUAGCUGGUUCUCCCCGAAAGCUAUUUAGGUAGCGCCUCGUGAAUUCAUCUCCGGGGGUAGAGCACUGUUUCGGCAAGGGGGUCAUCCCGACUUACCAACCCGAUGCAAACUGCGAAUACCGGAGAAUGUUAUCACGGGAGACACACGGCGGGUGCUAACGUCCGUCGUGAAGAGGGAAACAACCCAGACCGCCAGCUAAGGUCCCAAAGUCAUGGUUAAGUGGGAAACGAUGUGGGAAGGCCCAGACAGCCAGGAUGUUGGCUUAGAAGCAGCCAUCAUUUAAAGAAAGCGUAAUAGCUCACUGGUCGAGUCGGCCUGCGCGGAAGAUGUAACGGGGCUAAACCAUGCACCGAAGCUGCGGCAGCGACGCUUAUGCGUUGUUGGGUAGGGGAGCGUUCUGUAAGCCUGCGAAGGUGUGCUGUGAGGCAUGCUGGAGGUAUCAGAAGUGCGAAUGCUGACAUAAGUAACGAUAAAGCGGGUGAAAAGCCCGCUCGCCGGAAGACCAAGGGUUCCUGUCCAACGUUAAUCGGGGCAGGGUGAGUCGACCCCUAAGGCGAGGCCGAAAGGCGUAGUCGAUGGGAAACAGGUUAAUAUUCCUGUACUUGGUGUUACUGCGAAGGGGGGACGGAGAAGGCUAUGUUGGCCGGGCGACGGUUGUCCCGGUUUAAGCGUGUAGGCUGAUUUUCCAGGCAAAUCCGGAAAAUCAAGGCUGAGGCGUGAUGACGAGGCACUACGGUGCUGAAGCAACAAAUGCCCUGCUUCCAGGAAAAGCCUCUAAGCAUCAGGUAACAUCAAAUCGUACCCCAAACCGACACAGGUGGUCAGGUAGAGAAUACCAAGGCGCUUGAGAGAACUCGGGUGAAGGAACUAGGCAAAAUGGUGCCGUAACUUCGGGAGAAGGCACGCUGAUAUGUAGGUGAAGUCCCUCGCGGAUGGAGCUGAAAUCAGUCGAAGAUACCAGCUGGCUGCAACUGUUUAUUAAAAACACAGCACUGUGCAAACACGAAAGUGGACGUAUACGGUGUGACGCCUGCCCGGUGCCGGAAGGUUAAUUGAUGGGGUUAGCGGUAACGCGAAGCUCUUGAUCGAAGCCCCGGUAAACGGCGGCCGUAACUAUAACGGUCCUAAGGUAGCGAAAUUCCUUGUCGGGUAAGUUCCGACCUGCACGAAUGGCGUAAUGAUGGCCAGGCUGUCUCCACCCGAGACUCAGUGAAAUUGAACUCGCUGUGAAGAUGCAGUGUACCCGCGGCAAGACGGAAAGACCCCGUGAACCUUUACUAUAGCUUGACACUGAACAUUGAGCCUUGAUGUGUAGGAUAGGUGGGAGGCUUUGAAGUGUGGACGCCAGUCUGCAUGGAGCCGGCCUUGAAAUACCACCCUUUAAUGUUUGAUGUUCUAACGUUGGCCCCUGAUCGGGGUUGCGGACAGUGUCUGGUGGGUAGUUUGACUGGGGCGGUCUCCUCCUAAAGAGUAACGGAGGAGCACGAAGGUUGGCUAAUCCUGGUCGGACAUCAGGAGGUUAGUGCAAUGGCAUAAGCCAGCUUGACUGCGAGCGUGACGGCGCGAGCAGGUGCGAAAGCAGGUCAUAGUGAUCCGGUGGUUCUGAAUGGAAGGGCCAUCGCUCAACGGAUAAAAGGUACUCCGGGGAUAACAGGCUGAUACCGCCCAAGAGUUCAUAUCGACGGCGGUGUUUGGCACCUCGAUGUCGGCUCAUCACAUCCUGGGGCUGAAGUAGGUCCCAAGGGUAUGGCUGUUCGCCAUUUAAAGUGGUACGCGAGCUGGGUUUAGAACGUCGUGAGACAGUUCGGUCCCUAUCUGCCGUGGGCGCUGGAGAACUGAGGGGGGCUGCUCCUAGUACGAGAGGACCGGAGUGGACGCAUCACUGGUGUUCGGGUUGUCAUGCCAAUGGCACUGCCCGGUAGCUAAAUGCGGAAGAGAUAAGUGCUGAAAGCAUCUAAGCACGAAACUUGCCCCGAGAUGAGUUCUCCCUGACUCCUUGAGAGUCCUGAAGGAACGUUGAAGACGACGACGUUGAUAGGCCGGGUGUGUAAGCGCAGCGAUGCGUUGAGCUAACCGGUACUAAUGAACCGUGAGGCUUAACCUU